rnacentral:misc_RNA from 1 species
GAUGAAGAACGUAGCGAAAUGCGAUAGGUAGUGUGAAUUGCAGAUGUAACGUGAAUCAUCGAAUCUUUGAACGCAAAUUGCACUCUCUGGUAUUCCGGGGAGUAUGCCUGUUUGAGGGUCGCCAAAUCAAAAUCGAAAUUCAUUUGCUUUUUUGUAAAUGUUUAUCGGAUUUGAGCCGUCUUUUUUUAUUUUUUUUUAAUUAAAGUGGCUUAAAAUGUAUUUUUUUGGUAUCGAAAAACGUUAUUUUACGAUCAAAUUGAUUAAAAAAACAAACGUUUUCGAAUGCCGCCUUUUUAAUGUAAUACGUUUGACUGUGAUGGUUAAUCAUAGUUUCAUUCGUAUACGAUUUUUUAAUUUUUGACCUCAAAUCAGGUAAGAACACCCGCUGAACUUAAGCAUAUCAAUAAGCGGAGGA